AGACUGUGAAUCUCUGCCUUGAACCAACAGAAAAGUGUCACCAGCACAGCAAGGCAUGGAGGGCAAGGAGAAGGAGAAGAAGGAAUGGCAUUAAAUAAAUACAUAGCAGGCUGCAGUGUCACAACAAGGAGAUGUACAAUUACGAAGAAAAAAUACCCCAAGGAAAUCAACACAAGGCUUAUUAAUAUCCAGGCCUGCAGAAGACAACUGUCAGACAAUUGGUCAACAAGAAUCGCAGCGAGGAGCGGCAGAGAUCCGAGUCCUCCAACAGCUGGAGAUCAGCAGAGAGAGACUGUGUGGUUUGAUUGAAAUCAGCCAAGGAACUGCUUUUAAUCAUGAUUUAAAUCGGGG